rnacentral:lncRNA from 1 species
AAGCAAGGUCCAGCUCGGUGGGGACACGAACAAGGCAGGUAGGGCACCCUGAGCCCACCGGGAUGCACGGCAGGGCCGAGCUUCUCGGGGCCGGGCGGAGGAGCCCCGCCGGGGCUGGGGCUGCUCCCUCCAGGGCAGCAUUUACUUCAUGAAAUAAAUGACCUUUGGCAGCCUUUCCCUGAAAAAUUUCACUUAUUUAGCAUGCUGUGCAAGAUCUCACGGUUUCUGUGGCUUGUAGCUGAAGUUCUGUAUCCUAAUUUCCUCCCCUGUGCUUUUGGCUUUAAAAACUUCCGUCCCUAUUUAAGGAGCAAAAGUGGCCUUUAGAGGUGUCGGUGCGUAAAUCGGUUUUCCUGUGACCGCUGAUGGGGAUGUGUCACGCAUAACCCACCCCCCCACCUCCCCCAGCAGCAGGAGCAGCUUGAACCAAGCCCCGCUGGCCCUGCGCAGCGAGGUGGGUGUUUGGAGACCCCCGGGUGCUGCCGAUGAACCAACUGAGACCAGAGCUGUGACAGCAGGGCCGGCCACCACCACUCAUCCCCAUUUCACACCCCCUCGCCCCACCGAUUUCGGUGCUCACCACCGAGCUGCUCCGAUGCCUGGCGGGCAGGCUGGGCGGCCUUUUGGUACCAACACGAGGAGCAUGGCAGGCUCCGCCUGGCUGCCUCAGCUCGGUGUCGGGCCGUUCCCACCACCACGUCAGGUUUCCCCGAAGCUGAGCUGCUAAUUUGCUGCUCCGAUUGCUCCAGCGCUCCCGGCAGCGUUGCCUGCCCGCGUGCUUGGAGCCCCUCGGUGGCCACGUGGCUCCGUUCCCGGGCGGAGGGGAAAUUGCAUGAUCGUAUGGAAAAUACCAAUAAUGGUGUUGAGUUUUGUUGCCGUGGGAACGGGAGCGCGAACCAGAAAUACGGCACAUCAAACGGCGGAAGGCUGCGCGUUGCGUAGGAUGCCGAGAGCCCCAGCCUUGAACAGUGACAUAGCAAAAGGAUACAGGAUGACACUUCUUGCAGUUGCAGCUGAAGUCCUUUGCCUGCCGACUUUUUUUUUCCCUUUUUAUUGGGGAUUUUAUCACAUAAAGGAAGAACACACCCCAUCCUGAUUU